UACAUACUGUGCGAACGUUAUUCGGAUUCACUGGGCUUAAAGGGUGCGUAGGCGGCUUGUUAAGUAGGGUGUGAAAGCCCCCAGCUCAACUGGGGAACUGCACUCUAUACUGGCGAGCUGGAGUGAGAUAGGGGUGUGUGGAACUGCCAGUGGAGCGGUGAAAUGUGUUGAUAUUGGCAGGAACGCCGGUGGCGAAAGCGACACACUGGGUCUCAACUGACGCUGAGGCACGAAAGCCAGGGGAGCGAACGGG
rnacentral:rRNA from 4 species